rnacentral:rRNA from 1 species
AUUGAACGCUGGCGGCAGGCCUAACACAUGCAAGUCGAGCGAGCGGCGGACGGGUGAGUAAUGUAUGGGGACUGCCCGAUAGAGGGGGAUAACUAAUGGAAACGGUGGCUAAUACCGCAUACUAUCGGAUAACCCAUAUUGGAUUAGCUAGUCGGUGGGGUAAAGGCGCACCAAGGCGACGAUCUCUAGCUGGUCUGAGAGGAUGAUCAGCCAAACUGGGACUGAGACACGUCCCAGACUCGUACGGAGGCAGCAGUGGGGAAUAUUGCACAAUGGGCGCAAGCCUGAUGCAGCAAUGCCGCGUGUAUGAAGAAGGCCUUAGGGUUGUAAAGGACUUUCAGCGGGGAGGCGUUACCCGCAGAAGAAGCACCGGCUAACUCCGUGCCAGCCGCCGCGGUAAUUC